AGCAAUACUCGCUUAAAGAGCAUUCUGUUUUAAAAAACCGUGUUUUUUAUAUCUCUCUCCUCGCUCAGCUCUCAAACCAGAAGCAAGUGCCACAGAAAUUCCUCGCUACACUGCCCUUGAUUCCCAAAUCUUCUCCAAAUCGAAGAGAGCCACGGAAAUUCGAAGGCUUAGCCCUCAGUUCGUAACCCGAUCCACUCCAGAAAUUCAAAGCCCAGAUCGCGAUUGCUGCAGACCUAGGUUCAGAUCACUGAGUUCUGAACUUCUCUGAGUUCUUAUGGCCCUCAGUUCGUGAUCCUUGACAAAACUUCCUCCGAGUUCUUCACAUCCUGACUUUUCAACGACGCCGAAAUCGAAACUCCACCGCCAAAAGAAAAGAAGGUAAGUCCCUUUCCGGACAGAUAUAUGCAAAAUUUACGAUUCACUUGUUAUUUAAUCGUUUUACAUUAUCUGAUUAUUUGAUUUUCUUUCAAUUUGUCCGUCGGCGGAGAUAACCCAGUUGAGAAGAUAAGCUUCAAAACCCUAAAUAUGAAAACAGGAAAAAAAACUACUUUUUUUUCUUCUUGAUUUUAAUGAAUGAUAUUAAAAAAUUAAGUAAAAAUUACUUCUACAGAUCAAAUGUGAUUAUUAAAAAAAUCUGAUACUUAUUUUUUCUUGCUACUUUUUUUUCUUCUUGAUUUUAAUGAAUUAUAUUUUCUGUUAAAAUGCAGUGUGACAACUUGGAUUUGGUAAUUGGAUGCAUGUGGUAUAAUUCAUAACAAAUUCCACUUUACUGAUGUUUACAGUGGUUCUAUCUUGGAUGUACCACAAUUUCCAAUCAUAUGGGUUUCUUUGAUUUUGCUACUUUGGAAUUUCUUUGGAACCAUCUCUAUCCAAAAAGAUGCUUAAAUAGGAAAAUUUGUAAUUAUAAUUUGGGAGAUGUAAUGAAUUGAUUGUAAUGGGAGAUGCACAAAUUUAUUCUGUUUUAUGUCUCUUUCUAUGGUUUGUAUGGCUGGACACCUGUUGCAACUAAUACUGAAACAUUACAGAUGAUUGAAUUUGGAAUCACUGUUACAUCAAAAUUAUGCAUAUAGUACUGAAACAUUACAGAUGAUAAAAUUCGGAAUCACUGUUACAUCAAAAUUAAACAUAUAGUACUAAAACAUUACAAAUGAUAAAAUUUUGCAUUACAUGCUCCAUCAAAAUUAAGCUGGCCAGUAACCCCAGCUUGACAUUGGACUGACAUUCAUCAAAGGGCUCCCGAAUGUGAGAUACUACAUAUGUAAAUAUAUGCAAAACAAAAUUUGUUCACUAACUUUAAAUUCUUUUUCAUUGACAGAUAAAGGCAGUGGUCUUGAUUCUUCAUGUUUCUUUGAUUCCACAAGAUCAACACCUCUUGACAUCUUGUCCUUCCCUUUAGCCUCUAUAAUCAUGAAAGCAUAGGACCUGGGAAGGGGACUGCUGCCUUGCACUGGACGGGACCUGGGAAGAGCAUAUCAUCAGAUGAACCAUUGAAAGCAAAAAUGCACAAAGAGUUCCAUAAACAGAUUAAGAGUAGAAGAAGCUUUAUCCCUAUGCUCUCAAGAAGUAUUUCUCUCGGUUUCACAUAAAAUAAGUACUGCAAUAUAAUAACCACAAAGAAAUCUCGAAUAAGCUUUUCAUCAGCUGUGGAAUAUAGUUAAAUGAAGUUAAUAUAAAAGACCAUAAUUAUAAAAUGUUGCUAUAAUGAUUCUACUAUGGAGCCUCUGUCCACAAACAACUUAUGCGAUGAAUGAAUAAUCAGCUAGCUUAGGCAAUCAAGCUGAAGAAUCUAUUCAUGAUGUAUCUAUCUAUCUAUCAAUGUAAGGAAGAUAUUCGUUUUGAAUUUACGAACAACAAAUUGAAUUGGCAUGCUUUCGUAAAAUAGGAGAUAUUGUAACAAAUUCAAGAUUGGAUUUUUUUUCACUGUUAAGCGAAGUUUUUUUUUCCUAUUUUCAUAUUUAGGAUUUUGAAGCUUAUCUUCUCAACUGGGUUAUCUCCACCCACGGACAAAUUGAAAGAAAAUCAAAUAAUCAGAUAAUGUAAAACGAUUAAAUAACAAGUGAAUCGUAAAUUUUGCAUAUAUCUG
rnacentral:lncRNA from 1 species